rnacentral:rRNA from 1 species
GCUUACGGCCAUACCACCCUGAGCACGCCCGAUCACGUCUGAUCUCGGAAGCUAAGCAGGAUCGGGCCUGGUUAGUACUUGGAUGGGAGACCCCCUGGGAAUACCAGGUGCUGUAAGCU